rnacentral:tRNA from 1 species
GGGUCGUUAGCUCAGUUGGUAGAGCAGUUGACUUUUAAUCAAUUGGUCGCAGGUUCGAAUCCUGCACGACCCACCAAAU